rnacentral:lncRNA from 1 species
ACUGCUUUCUGACAAGAUUGUCUUGGGCUUUUAUUCAUAACCUGGGACGGAACCCGCCCUGGGGAUCCAGUCUAACAUCAGUGGUGUCUGUGGCAUUAGGGGCUUUCUGACAAGAGGGAACCUGAAGUAACCUGUGGCAGGAAACCCUACCAAGCACUUCAGCGGUUUUCCCUCAAGAAAGCCCUAGAGGUCAAGAACGAAGAUUCUUACCACACACAACAAAUUCACAAAAUUCACCUAGUCUGUGCAAACUGAAGGCCUUGAGGAUUGAGUCAAAUGUGUCCACAGACACGGACUAUGAUGUUCUCAUUUGGGAACUCAGGAUCUCAGGACUCCAUGAGUUGCCCACUGUACCUUCAGAAGACCUUUCAAAGAGCAAGCCUGACCCCGCCACCAUGGGUCUUUGAGCAGCACCAUGGACUUCAAGGUCAUUUCCCUCAGAAUCACUCAGGCUGUGAUGUGAUGGCAUUGGCGGAGCCCAGUCAAGGCACUGACAGCCUGAGGGGAAGCCACUCCUGGCUGUGAAGCUUCCAGUAGUGGUGAAAUAUUUGGGAGGAUUCAAGUCAUGUCCUGAUGGUCUUGUUUGAAGACUACAGUGUUUUACACCAUAAUUUGUUUUUAAAUGGAAGACCUGCAGGGUCAUCUCACCUAAACGUCCAUCCUAGAGAGAAGCUGACGGUGAGGCUGCUGCACCAGAUGGCGGCCGUGGGGAGUGAUCCUGUCACAGCAGGUUCCACUGGAACAGGAUUCUCUGGCCACCUCCAGGGUAGAGAUGCUUAUCCCAGGAGAAGAGGACAUGGGACAAGAGGCCUC